rnacentral:rRNA from 1 species
UACGUAGGGUGCAAGCGUUGUCCGGAAUUAUUGGGCGUAAAGAGCUCGUAGGCGGUCUGUCGCGUCGGCUGUGAAAACUCGGGGCUCAACUCCGAGCCUGCAGUCGAUACGGGCAGACUAGAGUGCGGUAGGGGAGACUGGAAUUCCUGGUGUAGCGGUGAAAUGCGCAGAUAUCAGGAGGAACACCGGUGGCGAAGGCGGGUCUCUGGGCCGUAACUGACGCUGAGGAGCGAAAGCGUGGGGAGCAAACAGGAUUAGAAACCCCUGUAGUCC